UUACGGGCAUAUCAUAUUGAAACAUUGGUUCCCGUACAAUCACCGAAGUUAACCAAAGUCGAGUCUGUUCAGUACUUAGAUAGGUGAUACCAUGGGAAUACCAGGUGCU